rnacentral:rRNA from 1 species
UACGUAGGGGGCAAGCGUUGUCCGGAAUCAUUGGGCGUAAAGAGCGUGUAGGCGGUCCGGUCAGUCGGUUGUGAAAGUCAAGGGCUCAACCCUUGAAUGCCGGCCGAUACUGCCGGGCUAGAGUCCGGAAGAGGUGAGUGGAAUUCCUGGUGUAGCGGUGAAAUGCGCAGAUAUCAGGAAGAACACCCAGUGGCGAAGGCGGCUCUGU